rnacentral:rRNA from 1 species
UACGUAGGGGGCAAGCGUUAUCCGGAUUUACUGGGUGUAAAGGGGGCGCAGACGGCGAUGCAAGCCGGGAGUGAAAGCCCGGGGCCCAACCCCGGGACUGCUCUUGGAACUGCGUGGCUGGAGUGCAGGAGGGGCAGGCGGAAUUCCUGGUGUAGCGGUGAAAUGCGUAGAUAUCAGGAGGAACACCGGUGGCGAAGGCGGCCUGCUGGACUGCAACUGACGUUGAGGCCCGAAAGCGUGGGGAGCAAACAGG